CAGUUCCCUCAGCCUCUCCUCAAGUCAUGUGCCCCAGCCCCUGAUCGUUUUUGUUGCCCUCUGCUGGACUCUCUCCAAUUUGUCCACAUCCUUUCUGUAGUGAGGGGCCCAAAACUGGAUGCAGUACUCCAGAUGUAGUCUCACCAGUGCCGAAUAGAGGGGAAUAAUCACUUCCCUCGAACUGCUGGUAAUGCUCCUACUAAUGCAGCCCAAUAUGCUGUUAGUCUUUUUGGCAACAAGGGCACACUGCUGACUCUUAUCUAGCUUCUCAUCCACUGUAAUCCCCAGGUCCUUUUUUGCAGAACUGCUGCUUAGUCAGUCAGUCAGUCCCCAGCCUGUAGUGGUGCAUUCACGGUCCAUUUUAGUCAAUUUCAUGGUCAUAGGAUUUUAAAAAUAGUAAAUUUCAUGACUUUUUAGCUAUUUAAAUCUGAAAUAUCAUGGUGUUGUAAUUGUAGGGAUCCUAACCCAAAAAGGAGGGUGUGUGUGUGGGGGGGGGGGCGGAGGGUCACAAGGUUAUUGUAGCAGUGCUGACUUCAGAACUGGGCAGCUGGCCAGGAGGCCAGUGCUGAAGGCAGAGCUGCCACCAGCAGCACUGCAGAAGAAAGGAUGGCAUGGUAUGGUAUUGCCACCUUUACUUCUGUGCUGCUGCUGGUGGGGUGCUGCCUUCAGAGCUGGGCACCUGGCCAACAGCCACCCCUUUCUGGCUGCCUAGCUCUGAAAGCAGUGUAGAAAUAAGAGUGGCAAUAUCGUGACCUCCCUAAAAUAAUCUUGCAGACCCCCCCCAUGCAACCCCCUUUUAGGUCAGGACCCCCAGUUUGAGGAACGUUGAUCUCCCCUGUGAAACUUGUAUAGUAUAGGGUAAAAGCACACAAAAGACCGGAUUUCACUAGGGGAGAGCAGAUUUCAUGGUCCGUGACGUGUUUUUUAUGGCCAGGAAUUUGAUAGGGUCCUACCCAUACCCACUGAUAGCUGCUGAAGGAGGCUUGCUCUGGGAAGCGUCUUCAAGUCUGUCCAUUGCCCUGGAACUGAGCAGCAGUGCACUUGCUUGUCCACUCCUGCAGAAUGGAAUUUUCAAAUUGUGUGUGUGAAAGGACUGAAAAAUAUACACUCUGUGAACAUGCAUUGAACUUAAAGCCCUGUGGGACAAUCGAACUGCCAUGCACGUUGAGCAAGUUUAAACAUUAAUCUUUAUUUGAUUCCAGUAAGUGAACCCCUGAAAACAUGGAUGAGAGCCAUUUUUAAUGGGGACAGGGUUGUGGCAACAGGAGGACCAUACUCUUGUCUAGGGUAUAGCAUCUAAAAUUAGUAAACUUUGGAAAAAAAUAAACUGAAAUUCCAGACUCUGAUAAUGAAGCAAAAAUUUACACAAUAGCUGCAGCUUACUUUGAAUAACUUCCUUCAUUAAAUGCUGUUAGUAACAAUCAAGAAUAUUUGACUUCAUUUCUAUAGCGCUAUACGUGUUCAGUCUGAGAAUAAAUUCUGUUUAAUUUGUUAAGCUAUUUUUAUAUCAAACUGAGAACAGCUUUUCUACAGCAUACAUUUAUUUUUUUACAUCCAACUCAAUAAUGAGAUGAAUUCCUAUUACAUUAUCAACCAGCUAAGCAGAGCAACAGUAAGCUAUGCCAAUCUGGUCUGCACUCAGCCUGUUUGUUUUUACCUUUCCAAAUAUGGAGAUGGAGUGGAGCUCCUAUAAGGAAGAGUUAAUCCUUUUUGUCCUUCUGUGUAUGCCUGCCGUGGAAGCAGAAAUUUACACAGAAGCUAAUACAGAGAUAAAACAAUGUAAUAAAACAGUUAUUUGCUAUUACAUUUUAAACUUAAACUGUCUCUUACUGCUUUUAUUAUUUGUACUCUUUGUAAAAGGGAAUUAACCAUACAAUCAUAGAAAUUGAAGGUGGAAAAGACCUUUUAUGUAAUUGAGACCCCUCUCUCCUGCCAGUAAAGAAUUGUUCUCUACAGUAUAUUUUUCAGUGCUUUAAUCCUGUCCAGGUCAAAAUAAUUACAUUAAAAUCAUGUAAGGUUUAUGUGUAAUGGGGUUAAGAGUUCAUUCUAUCAAAAGACAAAAAUCUGAGCAAGUCCAGCUCUGCUGUUCAAUCCUGUGUUAACAUGCUUUGAUGCCACUACUUAUUUUUCAUGAUUUCUUUUGUGUAUGACAGUGUACUUUACUUAUAUAAAUGUGUGGAUCUCUUCAGGUGCCUUUUUAAUCCGCAAGAAUACUUACUGUAAAUUACAUAACCUAUAAUUUAUAAGUAAAUUUUGAAAUGCUUCAUUUAGCUAUUUUGCCUUUUAUUUUGUUGAAGUUACAUUCUUGUAACCUUGGAAAGCUGUCAUAUAGUAUGGGGUGCUUUUAAUUUGUUUUAAAAUUAUUUUCAUAGGGAUGGAGCCAAAACAGAUUCUGUGAAAUGACCAAAACUUUGAAGUACUAUGCAUAAAGUAGCUCAGUUAUAACCAAUGUGAAACUGAUGAGUUCUUACCCUUACGCUUGAUAGAUGCACAGAAUUUUUGAGACUCAAACAUUUCAAAGUUUAUACUUUUGAUCUUUCCCAUGCCUUAGACCAGACAAGAGUUUAAUCCUAAUAUAUAGUAAUAAGGGGAGAACACACAAGAAUGUCUUUCAAUUUGUAAUGCAACUAUACAGCUUGGCAUUGUCUGAUUCUUUCUGAAGUGCGUUAUUUGGAUGAUAGGCAUGGGGAUAGAGAUGGUAUACAGGCUGCACUUCAGUUGUCUCCUCUGAUGUGGCAUUGGAUAGUCAUGAGGAUAGUUGUUGUCCUGGGUGACUUAAAUCUCCAUGCAAAUGAUUAUUCUUUUGAGUCAUCUCAUAGUCUCCAUAACAACUAUGAGCUGAUCCUACGUGGUUUCUGGUUCAACAUACAAAGCAAGUCAUAGCAUGGAUCUUGGGUUUUGGGAUGCUUUUGGGGAAAGCUGAUGUCUAUAUUACUUUGCCACUACCGUCUCUACUUGAGGUCAGGGCUCUCCUUUUGGGCCUGUUUUAAUUACCUGGCCUCCAGAUGGGUAGAAGCAAUUGGGUUUGGAAGCCUCUGCAGAAAAAUGCUGUUCAGAUGAGCAUUAUUGAUACCUUGCUUAGACAUUCUGAUUUUCUGUUGUCCUCAAUUACUGGCACUGUGGUUUUUAAGUCUUCUGUCCAUUUCUCCAUUCUCAGAGGUCACCUUAAUGUGUAAAUAGUCUGCAACAAAUAAUAAGAACGCUAGAGCAUUGGUGGUGGAAAGUUUUUUAAAUUUGUUGACCUUAAGAGUCUAGAGCAAAACCCAUCUUUUCAUUGGGGCUUAUCUGGACAGGCAAAAGGUUUUGGAUUGAAAUCUGGAGGUGGGUGAUGUCUUCAAUCUUUUUAAAAAAUUGUUUUAAGGGUAUGACAGGUUAUUUUAAUUCUUGUUAUAACUUGAUUGCUGGAUUUUGUUGUAUGAUUUUGUAUUUAUUGUGGCAAAGGCACUUAGAGCUGAGAAUAAAUGGUUUUAAGGUGUUUUUAGUUAUCAAAAUAAGUGAAGUAAAAGUUUAUUUGAUAUCAAGUUUCUAACACUUAGGGUUAGUUGAAAACAAUUCUAAAAAAUCAGUACAUCUAAUUCAAAGUAAAGGAAAAAUAGAAAUUACGAUUUAGUAGUGCAAACAGAUUUCUAAGUUUGUCAAUAUAUGAAAUGGAUUGUUUGUGCGUCCUUGCAUCUGGAUGCAAAAUACAGCAAUAGGAUAUAGACAUUCAGGUUCUAAAGCUCAGAAAAUGGACUUCUUAUGGAAAUGCUUGUGCAGGUAGAGCUAUAGUAAUUCUGUAGGUUCUCUUGGGAGCACUACCGGAAGAAAUUCACCAAAAUUAUUAUUGUUGUAGUAGUAGUAAUUAAAAAACUGAGGGCAUUUCAUGUACCUGAUGAGAUAUGCAGGCUCUUACAUUUAGUUUGAAGAAAUUAGGAUUAUUGGUGUAGGUAGCUAAUUUCAAAUUAAUAUGACUCACUUUUUGUCUUAGUUACUUAAAAAAAAAAAAAAAGAGGGGUACUUGUGGCACCUUG